rnacentral:misc_RNA from 1 species
AAAAAGAAUUAUUAGUAUCAUAAAAAUUGACAUCCUAAAAUCAUUAACUAAUGAUUCUCUCUGAAAAAACAUAUGAAAGAAUCAUUAAGACGAAAAUAAUAAUUUUGAAAUUUAAUCAUAACAUAGUAGUAGCAGUGCCAGCUGAAUCUGAAGAACUCCCUCCAAAAUCCAUCAUCGUCAUCCAUUGUUGAAUUUCAUCGUCUCCAAUCUUUUCCUUGAAUUCACAUUCCUGACCCAGUUCCAUUUCCACUUCAAAUUCUCUU